CUCCCGCCGGCGACCGGCGCACGGGUGAGUAACACGUAUGAAACCUGCCCGUAGCAGGGGGAUAAGCGGAAGAAAUUCCGUCUAAUACCGCGUAACAACCCAUGGAGGCAUCUCUGUGGGUUUAAAGGAAGCGAUUCCGGCUACGGAUGGUCAUGCGUCGCAUUAGCUUGUUGGCGGGGUAACGGCCCACCAAGGCGACGAUGCGUAGGGGUUCUGAGAGGAAGGUCCCCCACACUGGUACUGAGACACGGACCAGACCCCUACGGAAGGCAGCAG
rnacentral:rRNA from 1 species